CCGCACCUAAUAGAAUUCUAAUGACCCUGUUGCGCAGCAGUAAAGAGAUUUACGAGCAGGUCCGUCGAGGAAAAGGCCUGAAAACCUCUUCAAAGCAAAAGUGCUAAUUGAUUCAUGCAUCAGAGACUUGUUUUAUAAGAAAAAAAAUGAUAUCGCACAUUUCCAGACAAACUGUUUUCGACGCAAGACGCCUCUAGAGAUAUUUCUGAUAAAUGAAGGCCAACGGCGGCACUUUAUCAUCAGAAAACGAAGUCAUGUGACUCAUGAGGGUUAACAAAAACAAUUCGGGGACAUUAUUGAGGGGGGGGGAAAAAAAAAAGUCUCCAAGCAGCAACUCUUGUAACAUUGACUAGCAUCCGACAAUAUGUCGCCCCAACAAACACCAAUCACAGUCCUCAUAAAGCCGACCGCCCCUCCCGCCUGUCUUUUGUGCGCCUUUGAGGGUUUGUGGCACUCGUAAAGCAAACCCACACGACACGAUUCACCUCCAGGCGCACUCGACGUCAAUGCGAGUGUCGCCGGAUGGCGCAAUGACUUGACAGUUACAAUGGAUGGCAGUGUAUCUCUCUCCAUGCCUGUGAGCAAAUGCGGACAUAAACUUUUACAGAAGACUUGUGUGAUUAAAUGAUUUUGGAAUAAGCCGUGACAGUAAACAGCACAGUAGUUCAAGUGCAAAUAAAAGACAUGCAUCUAAUAUUUCAUAUAUUUUCAAUUGAAGGCCAAAAUUAACUCAUUCAGUGCCAGCCCAGUUAAAAUAGAUGUUUGACGUCUAUCGUCGUCAAUGGCAGUGAACGAGUUAAAUAGCUGUGUUGUUUACUUUACUUUA